CCUCUCUGUGAUGGGUAAAGAGACACUCUGUUGGUGGUGUUUUUAUAUCAGUCAGGGGCAGAGCAGUUGGUAGUCCUUUGUUCAUUCUUGCUUGAUGUCUGGCUUGGUGACCAAAACUGUUUUGUGCUUGUCAUAUUA